UACGGGGGGGGCAAGCGUUGUUCGGAAUUACUGGGCGUAAAGGGCUCGUAGGCGGCCAACUAAGUCGGAUGUGAAAUCCCCAGGCUUAACCUGGGAACUGCAUCCGAUACUGGAUGGCUUGAAUCCGGGAGAGGGAUGCAGAAUUCCAGGUGUAGCGGUGAAAUGCGUAGAUAUCUGGAGGAACACCGGUGGCGAAGGCGGGUCUCUGGGCCGAUAUUGACGCUGAGGAGCGAAAGCGUGGGGAGCAAACAGG
rnacentral:rRNA from 1 species